rnacentral:rRNA from 1 species
GCAUAUCAAUAAGCGGAGGAAAAGAAACUAACAAGGAUUCCCCCUAGUAACUGCGAGUGAAGCGGGAAGAGCUCAAAUUUAAAAUCUGGUAGCUUCGUUACCCGAGUUGUAAUCUGGAGAAGCAUUUUCCGCGUUGGACCGUGUACAAGUUUCUUGGAACAGAAUAUCAUAGAGGGUGAGAAUCCCGUCCAUGACACGGACUACCAAUGCUUUGUGAUAUGCUCUCGAAGAGUCGAGUUGUUUGGGAAUGCAGCUCAAAAUGGGUGGUAAGUUCCAUCUAAAGCUAAAUAUUGGCGAGAGACCGAUAGCGAACAAGUACCGUGAGGGAAAGAUGAAAAGCACUUUGGAAAGAGAGUUAAACAGUACGUGAAAUUGUUGAAAGGGAAACGCUUGAAGUCAGUCGCGUUGAUUAAGACUCAGCCUUGCUAUUGCUUGGUGUAUUUCUUAUGUUAACGGGUCAACAUCAAUUUUGGUUGGUGGAUAAAGGUUGGAGGAAUGUGGCAUCCUUGGAUGUGUUAUAGCCUUCUUCCGUAUACACUGGCUGGGAUUGAGGUCUGCAGCACGCCUUUUUGGCCGGGGUUCGCCCACGUAUCGUGCUUAGGAUGUUGGCAUAAUGGCUUUAAGCGACCCGUCUUGAAACACGGACCAAGGAGUCUAACAUGCUUGCGAGUAUUAGAGUGGAAAACUCUUGUGCGUAAUGAAAGUGAAAGUUGGGACUCUUCGCAGAGGCACCGACGCCCGGCUCUGAAGUUUACUGACGAUGCUGCGGUAGAGCACGUAUGUUGGGACCCGAAAGAUGGUGAACUAUGCCUGAAUAGGGUGAAGCCAGGGGAAACUCUGGUGGAGGCUCGUAGCGAUUCUGACGUGCAAAUCGAUCGUCAAAUUUGGGGUAUAGGGGGCGAAAGACUAAUCGAACCAUCUAGUAGCUGGGUUCCUGCCGAG